UGUCGGCACUGGAAACUGGGGCUGUGCCAAUUACCGGGGUUUCUGCCGGGCCGCCUGCUUUCCCCAGGAGAUUUCUCUGGGCCCCAAGGACUGUGCUGGAGAGUUUGUCUGCUGUGUGUCAAGUGCUUCUGGAUAAGAGUGCCUUAGCCCAAGGAGUCGAUGGUACAUGAGAUGAAGCCCCACAGGAACUUUACUGGCCUUGGGAAGAACAUAAUUAUCAGCAAGUCCUGGAACCUGCACAAAACCUUCACUGUUUCAUUACAAUGAAUAGCGUGUGGAUAAUUUUGGUCUUGAUCCUUCCCAUUGAAAUCAAUGGGAAAAUCCCUAUUGACUUCAAUGGGAGAAGGAUGGAGCUGUUUCUCUGCCUUCUGUAAUAACAUUUAUCCAGUGCAGCAGCAUAAGUACCAGAUUUGGCUUUAUGAUUUUGGGAACCUUCAGUCAGAUUAUAACCUGCAGGGGGCACACCCAUCUCUGUUGUCUCUUUUCAUCCCUCACUCACAAUCUUCCCCCCCUCCUUUUUCUCUGCCAAAUGGACACAUAGGCUAUAGAGUACCGAUCAAUGUGCUCAAAGAUGAAGUGGACUCAAAGUCCCCAAGUUCAUUGUGAGACUGUCCUGCCAACUGGUGGGUCUGGCACACUGGGAUGGCCCACAAAUUUCACAUAUUCCUAAAACCAACCCAGAUGUUCUGUGACAGGCCCUGUUUCUUUAGUUUAGGGAUCAAUCCACUACAAUGCUUGACUGAUAUUUCAGUAAAAAGAACAGGAGUACUUGUGGCACCUUAGAGACUAACAAAUUUAUUUGAGCAUAAGCUUUCGUGGGCUAUAGCCCACUUCUUCGGAUGCAUAGAAUGGAACACAUAUUGAGGAGAUAUAUAUACACAUAUAGAAAGCAUUAAAAGGUGGGAGUUGUCUUACCAACUCUGAGAGGCCAAGUAAGUAAGAAAAAAAAACUUUUGAAGUGAUAAUCAAGAUAGCCCAGUACAGACAGUUUGAUAAGAAGUGUGAGAAUACUUACAUGGGGAGAUAGAUUUCUGGGCUAUCUUGAUUAUCACUUCAAAGGUUUUUUUUCUCUUACUUAAUUGGCCUCUCAGAGUUGGUAAGACAACUCCCACCUUUUCAUGCUCUCUGUAUGUGUAUAUAUAUCUCCUCAAUAUAUGUUCCAUUCUAUGCAUCCGAAGAAGUGGGCUGUAGCCCACGAAAGCUUAUGCUCUAAUAAAUUUGUUAGUCUCUAAGGUGCCACAAGUACUCCUGUUCUUUUUGCGGAUACAGACUAACACGGCUGCUACUCUGAAACCUGAUAUUUCAGUGAUCGCUACAGACCCUGCAACAGAGAGGCUCAUUUCUGAAAAAUGAGGUUUAUGAUUGUGCUUCAGAUUUCUAACAAAUCUUGUCAGGGUGGGCUGAGGGCUCAUACACUCUGGUGAUGGGUGCCCCUGUAAGAACACAGAUAGCUAGAUUAGCUAGAGAAAGGUGUCUGCAAGGGAUUAACUAAAAAAUUAGCACAUACCUGAUUUCAGGACAUAAUGCAAGGAAACGUUAUCCUGCCUUUGACAAUGCACCGCAUACAAAUUGUUAUUAUGUGACUUCAAUACCAUAGACUCACAAUGACUGGCACACUAUAUGACAUGAUAAUGGGAUACAAUCUUUCACCAGUUCAAAUCCAACCCCUGGUCAAUAUAACCAUAUAAGGACUCUAAACUAUUGUUGUAUGUAAAGUAAAUAAGGUUUUAAAAAUGUUUAAGAAGCUUUAUUUAAAAUUAAAUUAAAAUCCAGAGCCCCCCAGACCGGUGGCUAGGACCCAGGCAGUGUGUGCCACUGAAAAUCAGCUCAGCACGCGUGCCAUAGGUUGCCUACCCCUGGUACAGAUCUUAUUGGAAAGGUAUCCAGAUCACAAAUGCCACCCAAACUGGCACAAACUUAUUCCCUUCUCCGCAAAAAGACCAAGGUUUAGAUAUUAGUGAUACCAGGUGGGUGAGGUAAUAUAUUUUAUUGGACCAAAUUCUGAAAGCUUGUCUCUCUCUCACCAACAAAUAAACGAUGUUACCUCACUCACCUUGUCUCCCUUAUAUCCUGGGACCAACAUGGCUACAAGUGCACAGCAUACAAGGUUUGGAUAGACAUGGAGACUGAACUCACCCCUUGAAGUGGUCUUUCUGAACUCCCUUCUGACUCAAGUGUCUUCUCCAGCUCAGGGAUGAAGCAUAUUUGAAGAGGAAACUCACACAGAUAGCAGCAGAUACCACAGAGAUAGGCACUACAUAAAAACCUGAAUAGAACAGAUUAGUUCUGUGGAUUAACAGAAAUGUUCAGGUUCCAGAAACUCAUUUCUCCUACCACUGUGUACAAGGAACUCCCAGUGAAGUCAAGUCGUUAUUUGUAUCCGGUGGCAAAAGAAUUGGGCUCCAACAUUGUCAAUUGGUGGGCCCUUCACCUGCACUAUAUUUUCUUAGAGAAGAGUGGUCUAUUCGCUCAUCAUGUCCAUCUCUCUGGCUGAUGCAGGAUUAUUCUCCACAGUACUGUAUAUACUUGCAGCAAAGAGUCCUGUGGCACCUUAUAGACUAACAGACGUAUAGGAGCAUGAGCUUUCGUGGGUGAAUACCCUCUUCUUCAGAUGCAAGCUCAUGCUCCUAUACGUCUGUUAGUCUAUAAGGUGCCACAGGACUCUUUGCUGCUUUUACAGAUCCAGACUAACACGGCUCCCCCUUUGAUGCUUGUAUAUACUUGGGCACACAAUAAAUGAAUGACCCAAUUUGUAGGUGACACCUUUUCAUUGGACUAACUGGAAGGCAAAAAUAAGUCAAGUGUGUGAUUCUUGACAACUGCUGGUUUAUUAUUUCUAGUUAGGACCAUAACUGGAUAUUAAAUUGGCUACAAUAAUGGGGUGGGGAGAGGGAAUUAUUUUUUGACAGUGUAAUCAAUUGUAUUCCUUACAGAGCAGUAAAAACCUUGCUUGAGAAUGUCGCUGGAGUGUUUCUAGUGGAUGCAGGUUAAAAAUAUCUGAAAUAACAUCUCUGUUCUCUUCUCUGAUUAUUGAAUUGCAUUUUAUUGUUCAGGACAAAUAAAGGUUGUUUAAUUGGAAA